CCUACGGGAGGCAGCAGUGAGGAAUAUUGGUCAAUGGGCGGGAGCCUGAACCAGCCAAGCCGCGUGAAGGAAGAAGGCGCCAGGCGUCGUAAACUUCUUUUAAGGGGGAAGAGAAGAAGACGGUACCCUUCUAAUAAGCCACGGCUAACUAUGUGCCAGCAGCCGCUGUAAUACGUAGGUGGCAAGCGUUGUCCGGAUUUACUGGGUGUAAAGGGUGUGCAGCCGGAGAGACAAUUCAGAUGUGAAAUCCACGGGCUCAACCCGUGAACUGCAUUUGAAACUGUUUCUCUUGAGUGUCGGAGCGGUAAUCGGAAUUCCUUGUGUAGCGGUGAAAUGCGUAGAUAUAAGGAAGAACAUCAGUGGCGAAGGCGGAUUACUGGACGAUAACUGACGGUGAGGCGCGAAAGCGUGGGGAGCAAACAGGAUUAGAUACCCGGGUAGUC
rnacentral:rRNA from 1 species